CUGUGUAACUGGUUUUGGUUUAUUUUUCAAAAUUCCGCCAAAGGACAGUGUCUGGCCUGAAUAAGAACUGCUUGUUGUGAAGACGUGCCUAUACUCUAAGAUCGAUUAUGAAUAAUAAGAAUUCAUGAACCUUAAGAAAUCUGACAUACCAAUAAUUGGCAUUUCUGACGCGAAAUUUACAAUUGGCAUUUAUCCGUUUCAGAUCCGUUCAUCAUCCGUUUUAUCUGUUAUACGUCCGGUAGAAGUCCGUUUCUCAUCCGUUUUAUCCGUU
rnacentral:lncRNA from 1 species